AAAUCGUGAAACCCUAGUGUCACUUAAAGUCUGUUGGUUGUGAUCUCUACUCUCGUAGUGAUUUCGAUGGCGCUUUUGGUGGGGGUUCCGGCGGAGAUUUUGGUGGGGAUUCGAGGGGAGUUUUGGGUAGAAAUUUGGGUGGCCUUUCCAGCGGAGAUCCGUGUUAUGACCAAAUUGAAUAAAAUCGGCGGCGAAAAACCGGUGAGAGUAAUGAAAAAAAUCAAAAGUAAAGGAAUCAAGUACAGAGAAGAGGUACCCUCCAAGGUUGUAUUAUGAAGGUAAAUCACCCUUACAGAGAAGGAGCAUGCAUCAUAAUUGCAAAUUAACCAUUUUUGGACUUCUGAAGGAGUGUAUUGGGGAUGAGGUGUACACGAAUAUCAGAGAGAAUUCACGAGUAGGAGUUGUCAUAAAACUUGCAGAUAGUGACUAUGUAUGGUGGGCAAAGAUGGUGUGUUACAUAUUAACUCAGCAGUUGGCGAUAAAGAGAAGCUAUAAGAUGUGGUCAUUGAUUGAAGGGAGUCCUAUAAGGUUUUCUCUUUAUGAAUAUGAAGACAUAUCCAACCUGAACUGUGAAACGAUAGAUAUGGAGGAUAAAGUAGAUGUUGAUCACAAUCAAUCGUGGGAAGAGUUAAAGGAGGAUGUAGGGGUUGGUCCAAACUGGUUUGAGUUGAAUGUAGCGAUAAAAAAUUGUAGGACUCUUAUUCCUAAAUAGAUAAAGAUGAUUGGACUGUUGAUUGUGCUUCAUGUUGGUAUAUUGGGAAUAUCUUGGUCUAGCAGGAAUCCAUUAGAGUAUGCAAAACGAGUUCUUGAUAUUGGGGCUUAUGAGAGAUUUCCUUGGCGUCGUGUUAGAGUUAAGGAAUUGAUUCAGUGAAUUAAAUUUGUGUAUGUUGAUAACAACACAUACGCUAUUCAUAAAUGUGUGCAUGUCAUGGUAUGGGCUUUGGAUGGUUUGGUUAACUUUGGGAAGAAAAAGAUAAUUAAUGAUUUUGAUGUUGAAGAAGUGGUGCCGCUUCUUAGCUGGGGUGGAGGGCGCCCAAGGAUUACAAUUGAAGUGACCAUAAUUGUAUAAAAGAAGUUAAAGAAAAAGGUGGACGUUAAGCAUUUAGUUUACAAAUGUGACGAGGAUAUAUGUCUAGUUUGGCCAGGGGAAAAUGUUGUAUUUGGAGAAAGAUUUGGUGGAAAUAAGCUGCUGGAUAAUCUUCUACAUGAUCUUUUCCUCGGAUGUGUAAAUGAUAAAGAAUGGUAUGAUGAUGCAGAGCAGAUUUUUGUUGAUAAGAAAUUGGAGAAGAGGAAGGCGGAAGCAAAUAGUAGAGAUUAUUUUGUGGACUCACUUCGAAAGAAAUUUUCUAAGACAAUCUGCUCGUCUACUCACUGGAGAUCAACAGGUCCCGUGAAUCUGAAAGAAUUAAAUGAUGAAAGAGGUGAUGAUGGUGAAGUGGAGGGCCGGCAGAAAGGGGCAAUAGAAGGAGUUCUAAAGUUGUUGUGUAGUCUACACGGAAAAUUGAUGAAUUGAAAGAAAAAUUUCGGAACUAAAUUGGAAAGUAAUGGUGAGCAGGUGAAAGAGAUAGAAAAAAAGAUUUCAAUCCUUGAGAAUGAUGUGGUUGAGUUGAAGAAAGGGAAUAAAAUGUUACCUGCAAAGGCAGAUACGAAAGGGAAGGCAGUUCAACAAGAAGUUCUUGUUGCUCAUGAUGAAGAAUCUAAAACAGAAAUAUAUUUUAUAAAAGGCAUUUCCAUUUUUGAAAUAGUUUACAAAGAGAAGUGGUUUAUCUCCGCGGAAAAUUGCUUAGUUGGUGGGCAUUGACAAUUUUGAAGCUUUUGUUUCUUUCUUAGCCCUGUGUUAUUUUUUUUCAUUCUUUUUUUACUUUUCCUA